rnacentral:rRNA from 1 species
AUGGCUCGCGGCGAUCAUCAAAAUGAUGAUGAUGAUUUCAUGGAUCCACCACAGCGGAAUCGGGCAACUGGACGGCGAAAAGAGGGCGACGAGAAGAAGAAACGUACUCGCAACAGGGCCUCCCAGGAACGGCUGACUUCAUUGACUGACAGAUUUACUAACGAUCAGAAGGGAGCUGCUGCUGAGAUGGGUAUGCAGGCUAUGAUGAAUGUCCGGUGCACGAAUCUAGUCAACCCUGUGUGCGACUGGCUUGGUGAGAUUUACGACCCCCUCCAGGGAAUUUGUGAUUCCGGGACGUGGAAGACUGCCGUUGAACGAGGAAUCCGUAUUCUGCAUUUUGUGUGUGCCCCAUGGACAAAUCAAAGUCCCGUAUGA